rnacentral:rRNA from 1 species
GAUGAACGCUGGCUACAGGCUUAACACAUGCAAGUCGAGGGGAAACGACGGGGAAGCUUGCUUCCCCGGGCGUCGACCGGCGCACGGGUGAGUAACGCGUAUCCAACCUGCCUCUGACUGAGGGAUAACCCGUCGAAAGUCGGCCUAAUACCUCAUGGUAUCGUCUGCGGGCAUCCAACGACGAUUAAAGAUUUCAUCGGUCAGGGAUGGGGAUGCGUCUGAUUAGCUUGUUGGCGGGGUAACGGCCCACCAAGGCUACGAUCAGUAGGGGUUCUGAGAGGAAGGUCCCCCACAUUGGAACUGAGACACGGUCCAAACUCCUACGGGAGGCAGCAGUGAGGAAUAUUGGUCAAUGGGCGAGAGCCUGAACCAGCCAAGUAGCGUGCAGGAAGACGGCCCUAUGGGUUGUAAACUGCUUUUAUGCGGGGAUAAAGUGAGGGACGUGUCCCUCAUUGCAGGUACCGCAUGAAUAAGACC